rnacentral:tRNA from 1 species
CCUCCUAUAGCUCAAUUGGCAGAGCGCAAGACUGUAAUGGCAAACCGGCAUAUCUUGAGGUUCCUAGUUCGAUUCUGGGUGGGAGGA